UACGUAGGGGGCAAGCGUUGUCCGGAUUUACUGGGCGUAAAGAGCGUGUAGGCGGCCAAGCAGGUCCGUUGUGAAAACUGGAGGCUUAACCUCCAGACGUCGACGGAAACCGCGUGGCUAGAGUCCGGAAGAGGAGAGUGGAAUUCCUGGUGUAGCGGUGAAAUGCGCAGAUAACAGGAAGAACACCAAUGGCGAAGGCAGCUCUCUGGGACGGUACUGACGCUGAGACGCGAAAGCGUGGGGAGCGAACAGG
rnacentral:rRNA from 1 species